rnacentral:rRNA from 1 species
AGCGAACGCUGGCGGCAGGCUUAACACAUGCAAGUCGAGCGGGCGUAGCAAUACGUCAGCGGCAGACGGGUGAGUAACGCGUGGGAACAUACCUUUUGGUUCGGAACAACACAGGGAAACUUGUGCUAAUACCGGAUAAGCCCUUACGGGGAAAGAUUUAUCGCCGAAAGAUUGGCCCGCGUCUGAUUAGCUAGUUGGUGAGGUAAUGGCUCACCAAGGCGACGAUCAGUAGCNGGUCUGAGAGGAUGAUCAGCCACAUUGGGACUGAGACACGG